rnacentral:rRNA from 1 species
UGAACGCUAGCUACAGGCUUAACACAUGCAAGUCGAGGGGCAGCAUUUCGCUAGCAAUAGUGAAGAUGGCGACCGGCGCACGGGUGAGUAACACGUAUCCAACCUGCCGAUAACUCGGGGAUAGCCUUUCGAAAGAAAGAUUAAUAUCCGAUGGUAUAUUAAGAUCGCAUGGUUUUACUAUUAAAGAAUUUCGGUUAUCGAUGGGGAUGCGUUCCAUUAGUUUGUUGGCGGGGUAACGGCCCACCAAGACUACGAUGGAUAGGGGUUCUGAGAGGAAGGUCCCCCACAUUGGAACUGAGACACGGUCCAAACUCCUACGGGAGGCAGCAGUGAGGAAUAUUGGUCAAUGGGCGAGAGCCUGAACCAGCCAAGUAGCGUGAGGGAUGAAGGCUCUAUGGGUCGUAAACCUCUUUUAUAUGGGAAUAAAGUUUUCCACGUGUGGAAUUUUGUAUGUACCAUAUGAAUAAGGAUCGGCUAACUCCGUGCCAGCAGCCGCGGUAAUACGGAGGAUCCGAGCGUUAUCCGGAUUUAUUGGGUUUAAAGGGAGCGUAGGUGGAUUGUUAAGUCAGUUGUGAAAGUUUGCGGCUCAACCGUAAAAUUGCAGUUGAAACUGGCAGUCUUGAGUACAGUAGAGGUGGGCGGAAUUCGUGGUGUAGCGGUGAAAUGCUUAGAUAUCACGAAGAACUCCGAUUGCGAAGGCAGCUCCCUAGACUGCACCUGACACUGAGGCUCGAAAGUGUGGGUAUCAAACAGGAUUAGAUACCCCUGGUAGUCCACACAGUAAACGAUGAAUACUCGCUGUUUGCGAUAUACAGCAAGCGGCCAAGCGAAAGCAUUAAGUAUUCCACCUGGGGAGUACGCCGGGCAACGGUGAAACUCAAAGGAAUUGACGGGGGCCCGCACAAGCGGAGGAACAUGUGGUUUAAUUCGAUGAUACGCGAGGAACCUCACCCGGGCUUAAAUUGCAAAUGAAUAAUCUGGAAACAGGUUAGCCGCAAGGCAUUUGUGAAGGUGCUGCAUGGUUGUCGUCAGCUCGUGCCGUGAGGUGUCGGCUUAAGUGCCAUAACGAGCGCAACCCUUAUCUUUAGUUACUAACAGGUCAUGCUGAGGACUCUAGAGAGACUGCCGUCGUAAGAUGUGAGGAAGGUGGGGAUGACGUCAAAUCAGCACGGCCCUUACGUCCGGGGCUACACACGUGUUACAAUGGGGGGUACAGAAGGCAGCUACCUGGCGACAGGAUGCUAAUCCCAAAAACCUCUCUCAGUUCGGAUCGAAGUCUGCAACCCGACUUCGUGAAGCUGGAUUCGCUAGUAAUCGCGCAUCAGCCAUGGCGCGGUGAAUACGUUCCCGGGCCUUGUACACACCGCCCGUCAAGCCAUGAAAGCCGGGGGUACCUGAAGUACGUAACCGCAAGGAGCGUCCUAGGGUAAAACUGGUAAUUGGGGAUAA